UACGAACCGAGCGAACGUUGUUCGGAAUCACUGGGCUUAAAGGGCGCGUAGGCGGGUGCUCAAGUCCGGGGUGAAAUCCCACAGCUCAACUGUGGAAUUGCCUCGGAUACUGGGCGUCUCGAGGGUGGCAGGGGUAUGCGGAACUAUCGGUGGAGCGGUGAAAUGCGUUGAUAUCGAUAGGAACUCCGGUGGCGAAGGCGGCAUACUGGUCCACUUCUGACGCUGAGGCGCGAAAGCCAGGGGAGCAAACGGG
rnacentral:rRNA from 1 species